UGAAGCACUUUUAGUGGGAAAGAAAGCUUUGAUGCUAAUAUCAUCGAAGUGUGACGUUACCCAAAGAAAAAGCACCGGCUAACUCUGUGC
rnacentral:rRNA from 1 species